UCGGAUAUGGUGUAGCGGCUAACAUGGCUGUCUUUCAGUAUUACACAAUCACCUGAUCACAGCAGCUCCGGGUUCGACUCCCGGUAUCCGAA